UUCCAUGUUCCCAAGCAUAUUUGAGACAUAGGUUUGGAAACAAAAAUGACUUCACCAGUUAAAUAUUGUUAGAUCCUAUAGUAUAUCAAAGAGAUGCUGCUGAGAGUUCCUCUUUGCUAGCAAGCCAGCACACUCAGGGUUUUCUUGAGGUGUGGCCAUAAGGCCCAACAGGAUACCAUAAGGAAAUUCUUGAGAAGGUCCUACUGCUUCUACUUUGCACCUUGCCAUUCAGACAGACAGCUGCACCUUUGUUGCUGGGAUUUCAACAGCUUCUUACUCUCAAAGUGCCAUUGGACCUGACAAAGUUUGAUGGGAGCAAGGAGCUUUGCAGUGGAUCAGUACCCAGCCACAACAGAAGACAGCAUUUCUCUGGUACUGUCCAGAAGUCAUCAGGACUGGGGACCCUCUGACUUUCUGAGAGGCACGAAUUGACCUCCUGCCUUUCAUCAGCCUCCGUAGGAAUAUAAGCCUGGAAUUUUGAGAACUGUUGGACAUCAGAUGAAAGCCCCUAAUACUAUGAUGGACCAUAGAAACUUGCCCAUCUGGACCUCUUCCUUACCUUCUAGAAGAGGAGAGAAUAGCUAAGUUUGAGCAGAAAACUGCUGCGAUUGAUUGAAUUGUUUGAAAUGUAUUUUCGAAGGGCAACGUUGAAAAAAGCAGAAAUCUCAAGAAGCACCCCUUAAAUGAUCCUCAAGCCAAGUGUGAUUGCAUUAUUUCAUUAUCUUUUUCUGUGGAAAUUUCUGUAAAGAUUACAAGGAAAUUUUUAAUCAUUGUCUUAAAGAGAAUAAAAUACUUCAUUGCUGGUUUUGAUGUGUCAGGCAAAGAGAUAUCAGGUUUGGAGGGUGUGCAGUAGUGUUUUAUUAGAUAAAUGAUUUGUGCAUCUUGUAUACAUUGCAUGGUAUGCAUGGGCAUGCCCAUUUUUAGAAUAAAACCAUUUAACAACUUCUAAAAUAUUUGGCUAUUUCCCUCCUCUAAUUUUAAAGCAAUACGUUCAAAAUGUAGGAUAGUACCAGAUGUAGCUUCUGGCAGUCGACAUUAAGGGUGUGUUUCUGGAAAAAAAAAAUAGGCUAGUAAAUCCAGCCCAACUGGAAGCAGGAGAACUAUCCUCAUGAGAUUUUGAGCCAAAGCUUGCAUACUCAGGACAUAUGGAUAAGCAUUCGUUAUCCAUCUAACCCACCCAAGCUGUAACACCAAACUUUUUGAAGUUGGAUUUAUAUCUGUCUGCAAAUCAAUUUAAGUGGGAAAAUGGAAAGUAUGCCAUCGAGCACAACUAUCUAAAGCUUUUCUUUUGUGAAUAUUCUCACAAUGGAAGUGCAAUGAAAUAAUGUUUCUCUUUUAGAGAAAAAAACUUUCAGUAAAUAACGGGCUUGGGGCUGUAAAAUCUGGAAAGUCACAUUCUUAAAUCAAUGAAAUUACUUAGGAAAUAGAGUCCAUUUUUAAAAAUAAUUUAGGCUCAUAGGAGAAGAACAAUUGUUGGUUUUUGCUUUUGAAAGUGGGAUUCAGUCUCCACUGCAACUUUAUAACAUGUAUGUCAUCCAGAAUUUGGGGACUGUUUCUAAUACUCAUG